CUCGUAGGCGGUCCGUUGCGUCUGCCGUGAAAACCCGGAGCUCAACUCCGGGCCUGCGGUGGAUACGGGCGGACUAGAGUCCGGUAGGGGAGACUGGAAUUCCUGGUGUAGCGGUGGAAUGCGCAGAUAUCAGGAGGAACACCGGUGGCGAAGGCGGGUCUCUGGGCCGGAACUGACGCUGAGGAGCGAAAGCGUGGGGAGCGAACAG
rnacentral:rRNA from 1 species